UUUAGUCUCGUUGCACCAGAGUUAUUGUUCUUAAUGCAAACAAUAACGUCUGGCUCUACAUAUGCAUAUGGAGCGUCUGGAUGAUCGAGACUAAUAUAAAUUCCAAAUGAUUAUUUUUUUUCAUUGACAUUCACAACAUUGAUUAAAGGGUUUUGUUCAGUCCAAUAGAUACUAAUGGAUAAACUUGGAAACUUCUUGUCCAUAAUUAAAGCCGCUCGAGAUUUAGCAGAUGCACUGGGAGCAUCUGGUGAAGGACAGAUUGAUCGUGGUGAUGGGAAGAUUGUACACUGGUCAUUUAAAAGUCAGAUAUAUGCAUUUCAGUUGCAAUUUAGAGGUAAAUGUGUGGAUGAAACCACUGGAGAAACAGCAACUGCUACACAAGAAAGCAGAGGAGGUGCAAUUGAGCAUUCCAUGAAAGACCUGUUCCAGAAGUUGGCAUCAAGGAACGCAUUAUAACAUUUAUAUAUUUAUUUUUUACUCAGUACUAUGUUAUGUAUUAUAUAUCAAAAAGUAGACAUCCGGCCAUUUUCAAUUUCUAUUUUGAUUUUAUAUAUUUUAUGAAAAGUUGUGAAUCUUAUUAAACAUUUAGAUCUUUUAGUGAACUUGUAUUUGCAAAAUACACCCAUACGGGUCAAGCAAACACAUAUACAAACAUAUAUAAUACAGAAAGUGAAUAACAACAAAUAUCAACAUAAACCAUAUUUAGUGAACUCAAGUUGUAUCGUUCAGUUUUAUUAUAUGUAUUACACCUACUGUUAUACUUUUGCCUAUGGUUUUACAAUUAAAUCUAACUGAUCGAUUGUAUAUAACAAAAAAUAAACAAUAAAUCAACUUG